rnacentral:tRNA from 1 species
GGAAGGGGACAGGGCCCGGUGGCCCUGCCGGUCUUCAAAACCGGUCGUACUCGCUUGCGGGCACAGGGGGGUUCGACUCCCUCACCCUUCCGCCA